UACGAAGGGGGCUAGCGUUGCUCGGAAUUACUGGGCGUAAAGCGCACGUAGGCGGCUUUGCAAGUUAGAGGUGAAAGCCCGGGGCUCAACCCCGGAAUUGCCUUUAAAACUGCAUCGCUAGAAUUGUGGAGAGGUAAGUGGAAUUCCGAGUGUAGAGGUGAAAUUCGUAGAUAUUCGGAAGAACACCAGUGGCGAAGGCGACUUACUGGACACAUAUUGACGCUGAGGUGCGAAAGCGUGGGGAGCAAACAGG
rnacentral:rRNA from 1 species